rnacentral:rRNA from 1 species
CCUACGGGAGGCAGCAGUGAGGAAUAUUGGUCAAUGGGCGAGAGCCUGAACCAGCCAAGUCGCGUGAGGGAGUACUGCCCUAUGGGUUGUAAACCUCUUUUGUCGGGGAGCAAAAGCCGGACGUGUCCGGCUGUGAGAGUACCCGAAGAAAAAGCAUCGGCUAACUCCGUGCCAGCAGCCGCGGUAAUACGGAGGAUGCGAGCGUUAUCGGGAUUUAUUGGGUUUAAGGGGUGCGCAGGCGGAUUUUAAAGUCAGCGGUAAAAUCGUGGGGCUCAACCCCAUCCAGCCGUUGAAACUGGGGAUCUAGAGUGUGCGAGAGGUAUGCGGAAUGCGUGGUGUAGCGGUGAAAUGCAUAGAUAUCACGCAGAACCCCGAUUGCGAAGGCAGCAUACCGGUGCACAACUGACGCUCAGGCACGAAAGCGUGGGUAUCGAACAGGAUUAGAUACCCCUGUAGUC